UACGAAGGGGGCGAGCGUUGUUCGGAAUUACUGGGCGUAGAGGGCGCGCAGGCGGCGCGAGAAGUCAGGCGUGAAAGCCCCGGGCUCAACCUGGGAACUGCGUUUGAUACUCUUGUGCUGGAGUUCGGGAGAGGAGAGUGGAAUUCCCAGUGUAGAGGUGAAAGUCGUAGAUAUUGGGAAGAACACCGGUGGCGAAGGCGGCUCUCUGGACCGAAACUGACGCUGAGGCGCGAAAGCGUGGGGAGCAAACAGG
rnacentral:rRNA from 1 species